rnacentral:rRNA from 1 species
UAGGCCUACGGGGCGCAGCAGUGGGGGAUAUUGGACAAUGGGGGAAACCCUGAUCCAGCGACGCCGCGUGAGUGAAGAAGUAUUUCGGUAUGUAAAGCUCUGUCAGCAGGGAAGAAAGAAAUGACGGUACCUGACCAAGAAGCCCCGGCUAACUACGUGCCAGCAGCCGCGGUAAUACGUAGGGGGCAAGCGUUAUCCGGAAUUACUGGGUGUAAAGGGAGCGUAGACGGUGCAGCAAGUCUGAUGUGAAAGGUCGGGGCCCAACCCCGGGACUGCAUUGGAAACUGUUGAACUGGAGUACAGGG